rnacentral:rRNA from 1 species
UACGUAGGGUGCAAGCGUUAAUCGGAAUUACUGGGCGUAAAGCGUGCGCAGGCGGUUAUGCAAGACAGAUGUGAAAUCCCCGGGCUUAACCUGAGAAUGGCAUUGGUGACUGCACGGCUAGAGUGUGUCAGAGGGGGGUAGAAUUCCACGUGUGAGCAGUGAAAUGCGUAGAGAUGUGGAGGAAUACCGAUGGCGAAGGCAGCCCCCUGGGAUAACACUGACGCUCAUGCACGAAAGCGUGGG